UAUUUUCCAUUGUAACAGAAGGCUUUUAGAAUCCUAUAUCAAAAAUUGAAAGCAAAAGCUAAGGAAAAGGGAGGAUUGAUUCGGAAAGUAGAUCGAGACGAGUAAGAAGAAGAAUCUCAAUUUCAACUGUAUGUUUGUGUUUGAGCAUUUUAAACUCAAUAUUUUUUGGUGCUAUUUACAGUAAACACUGCCGGAUUUCACCACGCCGCCACCAGCUGUUGUAGACGCUGCUCGCUCGGCGCCACCAUCUCCUUCCGUCGCCAGCAGCCGUGGUAUGUUAUCUUAAAUCUGGUUUACCGUAUCCAAUACGUGUAUUCUUUUUCUUGUCGAAUACAAAUUUACAAUUCUUGCUUAAUUGCUAUUGUUGUCCAAAUGGAAUUAGAAUUAGUUGUAUCAAUUGAAAAUAUCAUAAGAUAAUUAAGAAGAAGAAUAUGAGUCUAUGACAGUGUGAUUGCGCGAUUACUUAAGCUACUCUACAAGCGGCAAGGCCCAUUUCUUUCUAUGAAUUUUUAUUUUUUUUGCCAAGAAAAUGGACUUGAUUGAGCUGAAUUCUUCUGUUUGUGUUUGUGUUGAAUUUUUCUGUUUGAGUUUAUUUUGAAGGAUCAAUAAUCCUUCCCCACUAUCUCUUCGCUGGUGAUUUGAAUCUCCAACUUAAUAAUAGGAGGAAAACGUCCUACCAAUUGAGCUAUUUUUCAAAUUGUUCAAUUUGUGUUUGACCAUUUGAGCAUUUGAAAUUCAACAUUUUAUUCUUUUAUUUUUUGAUUAGUCGAAUACCGAAUUGCAUGGACCAGCUCAAUAUUCUGUUGCGGUCAUUGUGGUUCUGGUCCUUCUGGAUAUGGGGUGUAUAUUUGGUUCGAUUAAUAUAACAAUUCAAUUCGAUUAACUGAACCGACCCAAUCCGACCCGACGCGACAGAAGUCCAAAGCCAUGAAUAAGCGCCACCCACAGUUGGGAUGAGACCCAGUGUUCCACAAUUUUAUAUAUGCGAGUCCAUGCUUAUAUUUAUUAUUUUAAAAAUAUUUUUAUAAAAAUAAAAAUUAUUAUAAUACUAUGAAUUAUAUUUAAUUUUUAUUUCAGAAAUUAAAAUUUUUAAAAAAUAUAUACCGUAACUUUGAAUUUAUCAACUUAUUAUUAGCUAAUAAAAAUGAAAUUAAAUAAUAAAAAAUAUUUGUAUACUCUAGAUUGAUAGAAUAAACCCUAGUUAAUAGUCACAAAUUUAAACUAAUUAAAACAUACAAAGUUGAAAUUGAAGAAAAAAUAUAUAAAAAAAUAAACAAAAUUGAAAGUGGAACACA
rnacentral:lncRNA from 1 species